GACUGACUGGGCGGCGCGCGGGGACGCAGAGCAGCCACCUGACGCUGCUACCGCCCCCCUCCGGGCUCCGGCGCCCGAAACCUUCCUGAACACUGGCGCUUUCCGCACCGCCCCACCCCACCCCCGGAGCGGGAGAGCGAGCUCGGGAGUCCGAGCGCUCGGCAGGCUCCCGGAACGGCCUCAGCGACCCGGACCCGGCUGGGCGAGUUGGGGGAGCGGGCGGCCGCCUAGGGGAGCUUCCUUCAGGGCCGCUGAGCGCAGGAGGGGAGCCGCGAGCCCGCCACCGCUGCAAAGUUCUGGGGAAGGUUGCACUUGAUGCGGAGGGGACUGCACCUGGGCCUGCCAAGAAAGGACGAUUGUGUAAACAGGGUCAAAGAGCGGGGACCAGAAGUGCACCGCCCCGGAGUCAGCGGUUAGUGGUGGAGCGAAGUCUUGAGUGUUGAAGGCGAAAGGAUAGUUGGAUGGGUGCGUCCCCUUUUGCUGGGGUCACAACGUGCCAGAGAAAAGGUAUGGUAAUUAGAGAGACCUUGUCUGGGAUCACCAAGAAUUCCAAUUUCCAGAAGUGUCCACUGACUCCUAAGUCACAGCAGAAUGAAAGCUGGCUGAAUGAACUGCAGAGUCUCCCUCUGUUGCUGGGCCGAAGCGCAGUAGCAUGAUCUCCGCUCACGGCAACCUCCUCCUCCCGGGUUCAAGUGAUUCUCCUGCCUCAGCCUCCUGAGUAGAUGGGACUACAGGCAUGCACCACCACACCCAGCUAAUUUUUGUAUUUUUAGUAGAGAUGGGGUUUCACCAUGUUGGCCAAGAUGGUCUUGAUCUCUUGACCUCAUAAUCCGCCCACCUUGGCCUCCCAGAGUACUGGGAUUACAGGUGUGAGCCACCGCUCCCAGCCAAAAAUUUGAAUCUUUAAGUGGAAGAUAGAAUUGGAGGCACACUUAGGGGCUCAUCAGACCAACUUAAAGGGUUUGGACUUUAUUCUGUAGGCAAUGAAAGACAUAUUUUGAGUAAAGAUAUGAGAUGGUAUUUGAGGAGAAGAAGUCAGUUUGUGAUUGGUAUACAAGAUGCUUUGGGGAGAGAAAGGUCCAGGAUUGGAAAAACUACUUGAGAGACCCCUGUAAACAAGAAGUUGACAUUUUUGAAAUAUUAAGUUAUUCCCCAACCCCCAAGUUUACUGUCACCCUCUUGCUUUCAUUGUAUCAUCAUUCCUCACCAUAGCUUACCUCUUCCUGGCUUUUUAAUUUUUCAAAAGUCUAAGCAUUAAAACAGAAAUGCAAUAAGAAAAGUGUUGUAAUAAAGGCUCUUUUCAUUCUUA